rnacentral:lncRNA from 1 species
UUGGGGUUUUUCUACUAAGCACAAGGUCGCGGGAGCGAAUCUUGGCUGUGGCGGCCGCAUUUCGAUGGUGGCGAAAUGCAAGAACGCC